rnacentral:lncRNA from 1 species
UACCAUCAAAUUGUUGGCAGAUGAUACAAGCUUGCCAAGGGGGCUUGCACAAAUAUUGGUAUUGACAGAUAAUUCAGAAUGGAUAGAUUGAAUAGACAGAGGAUCUCCGGAGGUAAAUUUGGAAAUUGUGUCAGGAGAUUCUUUUACUUGCUCACAUGCAGGUCCACAAUUAGAUUUGGAACUGACAUCAGGAAAUUCUCUAGUUUUCGCAGUUUCAGAAUCUUCAUUCUCCACAUUACAAGAUACUGCAGAUGAUAAAGGAGAUGGAGAAGCUAAAAGUUGGGUCUUGUCUACAGCAACAACCUUCUCUGAGAAGUGUCUACA